UACGUAGGGAGCAAGCGUUGUUCGGAUUUACUGGGCGUAAAGGGCGCGUAGGCGGCGCGGUAAGUCACUUGUGAAAUCUCCGAGCUUAACUCGGAACGGUCAACCUGUAUACUGUUUUGCUAGAGUACAGAAGGGGCAAUCGGAAUUCUUGGUGUAGCGGUGAAAUGCGUAGAUAUCAAGAGGAACACCUGAGGUGAAGACGGGUUGCUGGGCUGAUACUGACGCUGAGGCGCGAAAGCUAGGGUAGCAAACGGG
rnacentral:rRNA from 1 species